rnacentral:lncRNA from 1 species
AUGUGCCAGCGCACGGGGCUACGGGCACGCGGGGCGCCGGGCCCCCGCCCCGACACACGCGCCCGCGCCGCACCGCGCACCUGCCCGCCGCCCCCGGGUCGCGUCCCCGCCCGGCCGCUCUGCUCGGCCCCACGCCGCGCCCCCCCGCCCCGCCCCCGCCCCCGCCCCCCGCGGCGCCCCACGCGUCCUGCUUUGUCCUGCCGCUGCCCUCCGGGAGCAGGGCCGGGGCACGUGGGGCGCACAAAAGACCCCCAACCUCCGGCCCGCCACCGCUCCCGCUCCCCUACCCGCCCCCCAGAGGGGUUCCCGGGGCGCCGAGCGGCGCGCGAGGGCAACUUCUGGGGCGUGGGGACCUGCUCGCCCGGGCCGGCGGGGCGGGGGGCGGCGGGGGGCGCGGCCGGGCGCGUGCGGGCGGGGGCCGGGGGGCGCGGCCGGGGCGCGCGCACGUGCACCCUCCGGGGCGCGCUCGCGGGGCUGGAGCUCCAGGGGGCAUCCGAGGACUCGGCCGGCCGCCGGCAGCGCCGCUCCCCCGCCCGGCCGCCAGCCCAACUCCGCCGGCGCUCGCGAGGAACGCAACUCCGGGGACCCCCGCCCCGGCGCCCCGCAGCCCCUCCCCGGGCCCCCGCGGCCCGCCCCCAUCCCCUGCCCCGGGGAGCCCCACACACCCGGCGGCGGGUCCCCUGCCCCGCGCCCCCGGCCCCGGCGCGGCCGCCCUGGGGGCGCAGGCAUCCCUCCCCGCGCGCCCCUCCCGCCGCCCCGCCCCGGCCCGGCCCGGCCCGGCCCGGGGUGGGGGGUGCGGGGCCGAGAGCGAACCGAAAGUCACCGACCUCUCUCCGCAGCGGGCUCGGGCGCUCCCCACAGAGGCGGCGGCGGCGGCGGCGGCAGCAUCGCGGGGUGGUCCCGGCGCGCCCGGCCCCGCUCGGGAGGCGCCCACCUGCCCGCCGCCCUCGGCGCUCCCGGCCGGACCCGCCGCCAGGCGCUCGGCUGCGACCCGAGCUUUUUGUGUCGCCGCCCAGGCUCCGGCACCGAGGGCGGUGGGGCGGGAGGCCGGGCUCCGCGCCCCGCGGCACCGCCCCUCCCGGCGGCUCCGCCCCCUCCACCCCCCUGCGGCGGCCGGUCCUGGACGUCGGUCUGUCCGCCCGCCCGCCCGCGAUCGCACCCCCACCCCCACCCCACCCCCGACGGAGGAGCCGCCCACCCCGUGCCCACGUGCGCCCUCGCCGGGACCUGGACGGGGCCUCCCCAGCGCGCGGGGACCUGAGCCGCGAGCAGGUGCGAGAGGAGGCCCCGGAACCCGGCCCGGGGUCCACGCGUUGCGGCUCCAGAACCUGCCCUGGCACCCGCGUCGCCGCUAGAGAUACUUUUUGGCUGCCCCUGAAAGUUCGCAUCAUCCAAGCAGGGAGCGGUCCUGCUUUUGGGAAGGGGAAGACCGAGUGGACGCCCCACCGCCUGGCUCCCGGGGCGGGGGAGAGCUGCGCGCCCUGA